rnacentral:misc_RNA from 1 species
CAGGACCCUGUAAAUACUGUGCGAAUAAUUGAUCAUUUUGUCAUUGAACACAGAGAAAAAAACUGAUUCAGAACUGUCGAACGGGUAACUUAGUCAAUGAGUUGUUUGAUUGCUAACUCAUCUAGUGCCAUCUUGUACAGAUGUUGUAGGGUAAAGUUGCUUAGAGGUUAGUUGAUAUACAGGAAGUUUUCUGGGAUAGAAACAGGAUUGUAAGAGGCAAAUGAAAGAUCCAUUUG